UACGUAGGGUGCAAGCGUUAAUCGGAAUUACUGGGCGUAAAGCGUGCGCAGGCGGCUUUGCAAGACAGAUGUGAAAUCCCCGGGCUCAACCUGGGUACUGCAUUUGUGACUGCAUGGCUGGAGUGCGGCAGAGGGGGAUGGAAUUCCGCGUGUAGCAGUGAAAUGCGUAGAUAUGCGGAGGAACACCGAUGGCGAAGGCAAUCCCCUGGGCCUGCACUGACGCUCAUGCACGAAAGCGUGGGGAGCAAACAGG
rnacentral:rRNA from 1 species